rnacentral:rRNA from 1 species
GAUGAACGCUGGCGGCGUGCCUAAUACAUGCAAGUCGAGCGAAUGGAUUAAGAGCUUGCUCUUAUGAAGUUAGCGGCGGACGGGUGAGUAACACGUGGGUAACCAGCCCAUAAGACUGGGAUAACUCCGGGAAACCGGGGCUAAUACCGGAUAACAUUUUGAACCGCAUGGUUCGAAAUUGAAAGGCGGCUUCGGCUGUCACUUAUGGAUGGACCCGCGGCGCAUUAGCUAGUUGGUGAGGUAACGGAUCACAAAGGCAACGAUGCGUAGCCGACCUGAGAGGGUGAUCGGCCACACUGGGACUGAGACACGGCCCAGACUCCUACGGGAGGCAGCAGUAGGGAAUCUUCCGCAAUGGACGAAAGUCUGACGGAGCAACGCCGCGUGAGUGAUGAAGGCUUUCGGGUCGUAAAACUCUGUUGUUAGGGAAGAACAAGUGCUAGUUGAAUAAGCUGGCACCUUGACGGUACCUAACCAGAAAGCCACGGCCAACUACGUGCCAGCCGCCGCCGUAA